UACGUAGGGGGCUAGCGUUGUCCGGAAUCAUUGGGCGUAAAGAGCGUGUAGGCGGCCCGGUAAGUCCGCUGUGAAAGUCGGGGGCUCAACCCUCGAAAGCCGGUGGAUACUGGCGUGCUUGAGGACUGGAGAGGAGACUGGAAUUCAUGGUGUAGCAGUGAAAUGCGUAGAGAUCAUGAGGAAGACCAGUGGCGAAGGCGGGGUCUCUGGGGCAGUAACUGACGCUGAGGAGCGAAAGCGUGGGGAGCGAACAGG
rnacentral:rRNA from 1 species